ACGCUGUAAACGAUGAGUACUAGGUGUCGGGGGUUACCCCCUUCGGUGCCGCAGCUAACGCAUUAAGUACUCCGCCUGGGAAGUACGCUCGCAAGCGUGAAACUCAAAGGAAUUGACGGGGACCCGCACAAGUAGCGGAGCAUGUGGUUUAAUUCGAAGCAACGCGAAGAACCUUACCUAAGCUUGACAUCCCAAUGACAUCUCCUUAAUCGGGGAGUUCCCUUCGGGGACAUUGGUGACAGGUGGUGCAUGGUUGUCGUCAGCUCGUGUCGUGGGAUGUUGGGUUAAGUCCCGCAACGAGCGCAACCCUUGUCUUUAGUUGCCAUCAUUAAGUUGGGCACUCUAGAGAGACUGCCAGGGAUAACCUGGAGGAAGGUGGGGAUGACGUCAAAUCAUCAUGCC
rnacentral:rRNA from 1 species